rnacentral:rRNA from 1 species
CCUACGGGAGGCUGCAGUGAGGAAUAUUGGUCAAUGGACGAGAGUCUGAACCAGCCAAGUAGCGUGAAGGAUGACUGCCCUAUGGGUUGUAAACUUCUUUUAUAUGGGAAUAAAAUGUUCCACGUGUGGGAUUUUGUAUGUACCAUAUGAAUAAGGAUCGGCUAACUCCGUGCCAGCAGCCGCGGUAAUACGGAGGAUCCGAGCGUUAUCCGGAUUUAUUGGGUGUAAAGGGAGCUUAGGUGGAUUGUUAAGUCAGUUGUGAAAGUUUGCGGCUCAACCGUAAAAUUGCAGUUGAAACUGGCAGUCUUGAGUUCAGUAGAGGUGGGCGGAAUUCGUGGUGUAGCGGUGAAAUGCUUAGAUAUCACGAAGAACUCCGAUUGCGAAGGCAGUUCACUGGACUGCAACUGACACUGAGGCUCGAAAGUGUGGGUAUCAAACAGGAUUAGAUACCCCAGUAGUC